UGAGUCGACCGGGCAAUCGCUGCCGUGCACGCGUGUUUAAGAUCUUUAAGCAUACGGUCACUGGGGGAGGAAAGUCCGAGCUCCGAAGGACAAGGUGCCAGGUAACGCCUGGAGGGCGCAAGCCCAUGACAAGUGCAACAGAAAGUAAACCGCCACUUUGUGGUAAGGGUGAAAUGGCGAGGUAAGAGCUCACCGCUUUUCUAGCAAUAGGAAAGGCAUGGUAAACUCCACCUGGAGCAAGAUCAAAUAGGCUCUCUAUGGUUUGGUCCGAACCGAGGGCGGGUUGAUUGCUGGAACCAGCGAGCGAUUGCUGGUCUAGAGGAAUGGUUGCCACUGCUUAGCAGAACAGAACUCGGCUUACAGGUUGACUCAUCUU
rfam:Succinatimonas sp. CAG:777 genomic scaffold, scf95